rnacentral:misc_RNA from 1 species
CAGAGUUCGUGCCCUCACGGGUAGAUCUCCCACCCUGUGUUAUUAUACCUUUGUUGCUUUGGCGGGCCGCCCUCGGCUACCGGCCCCGGCUGGUACGCGCCCGCCAGAGAACCGAAAACUCUGAAUUAAAUGUCGUCUGAGUACUAUGUAAUAGUUA